UCACUCUUGGAUGGACCUGCGGUGCAUUAGCUAGUUGGUAAGGUAACGGCUUACCAAGGCAAUGAUGCAUAGCCGAGUUGAGAGACUGAUCGGCCACAUUGGGACUGAGACACGGCCCAAACUCCUACGGGAGGCAGCAGUAGGGAAUCUUCCACAAUGGACGAAAGUCUGAUGGAGCAACGCCGCGUGAGUGAAGAAGGGUUUCGGCUCGUAAAGCUCUGUUGGUAGUGAAGAAAGAUAGAGGUAGUAACUGGCCUUUAUUUGACGGUAAUUACUUAGAAAGUCACGGCUAACUACGUGCCAGCAGCCGCGGUAAUACGUAGGUGGCAAGCGUUGUCCGGAUUUAUUGGGCGUAAAGCGAGUGCAGGCGGUUCAAUAAGUCUGAUGUGAAAGCCUUCGGCUCAACCGGAGAAUUGCAUCAGAAACUGUUGAACUUGAGUGCAGAAGAGGAGAGUGGAACUCCAUGUGUAGCGGUGGAAUGCGUAGAUAUAUGGAAGAACACCAGUGGCGAAGGCGGCUCUCUGGUCUGCAACUGACGCUGAGGCUCGAAAGCAUGGGUAGCGAACAGGAUUAGAUACCCUGGUAGUCCAUGCCGUAAACGAUGAGUGCUAAGUGUUGGGAGGUUUCCGCCUCUCAGUGCU
rnacentral:rRNA from 1 species